CUUUGGUUGUAUGCAACAAAUAAUACAACCGGGGCUAUGUUAUUAAACGUAAACCACAAGAAGAAAAGAAACACUUUAGCCUUUUCAUUUUGAUCAGUAUGGGGAAACAGUUCUACUGUAGGCCUUAAUUGCUCACUCGCUUUAGUGUUGCUGGGAAGAUCUCCUUUAGUCAUACAGUGAGCUCUAAGUAAGCUGGCCCACACAAAGGUGCAAAACCGGUUAGUUAAAGACGUGCUGUGCUUGCAGGUCGUUUCAAAGCUGUGCUGUAGUUCCCUAUUGGCUAUCAGAUGUGACAUCAAGACGUGAAGGGAACUCCAUACUUGUGGACAGAAUUACCUGCUCAGCCCCGCGCAGCUUUAAAAUCAGGUGCAGCAUUUCAGCCCUCAGGUGACAAAGGCGCGGCUCUGACUACAACCUCAGAAUCUGAUUAUGAAUCAGAAGGUGACCUAAUGACAACGUCGCAGGCUACGUCACAUGUGGCCGUCUGCCAUCGGCUCAGCAGAUUAUCACAGCUGUGAUCAGAGAGCUUACAUCAGCCUCAUGUGUGUGUUUCUGGCAGCCCGGGGAUGCAGUCAUAAGAGGGGUCUAAUGAAGGCCUGACAACCAUAUGCUGCAUAUUUAAACACCAAAAACAAUAUAAAGGAAGAUGAUUGCAAAUUGUUAAA